rnacentral:rRNA from 1 species
AACGAACGCUGGCGGCAUGCCUAACACAUGCAAGUCGAACGAUGCCUUCGGGCAUAGUGGCGCACGGGUGCGUAACGCGUGGGAAUCUGCCUUUCGGUUCGGAAUAACUCAGGGAAACUUGAGCUAAUACCGGAUAACGUCGCACGACCAAAGAUUUAUCACCGAAAGAUGAGCCCGCGUAGGAUUAGCUAGUUGGUGAGGUAAAGGCUCACCAAGGCGACGAUCCUUAGCUGGUCUGAGAGGAUGAUCAGCCACACUGGGACUGAGACACGGCCCAGACUCCUACGGGAGGCAGCAGUGGGGAAUAUUGGACAAGGGGCGAAAGCCUGAUCCAGCAAUGCCGCGUGAGUGAUGAAGGCCUUAGGGUUGUAAAGCUCUUUUACCCGGGAAGAUAAUGACGGUACCGGGAGAAUAAGCCCCGGCUAACUCCGUG